GGCCAGCAUCAGUUUUGGUGGCAAGAUAAUGACAGUUGAAUGUGGCUCCUCGGAGUGUUAUAGCUUCUGUUGAUGUUGCCUACCGAGACUNANGUCUGCGCUUUUGCCUAGGAUNCUGGCGUNAU
rnacentral:rRNA from 1 species